UCUUCGGCAAUGGACGAAAGUCUGACCGAGCAACGCCGCGUGAGUGAAGAAGGUUUUCGGAUCGUAAAACUCUGUUGUUAGAGAAGAACGUUGUGUAGAGUGGAAAAUUACACAAGUGACGGUAUCUAACCAGAAAGGGACGGCUAACUACGUGCCAGCAGCCGCGGUAAUACGUAGGUCCCGAGCGUUGUCCGGAUUUAUUGGGCGUAAAGCGAGCGCAGGUGGUUUAAUAAGUCUGAUGUAAAAGGCAGUGGCUCAACCAUUGUGUGCAUUGGAAACUGUUAGACUUGAGUGCAGUAGAGGAGAGUGGAAUUCCAUGUGUAGCGGUGAAAUGCGUAGAUAUAUGGAGGAACACCGGUGGCGAAAGCGGCUCUCUGGACUGUGACUGACACUGAGGCUCGAAAGCGUGGGUAGCAAACAGGA
rnacentral:rRNA from 1 species